ensembl:lncRNA
CCAGCCUAGGUGCAGGCAUGUCCUGGGUGCUGGGGGCUUCUUCCAUCAAGGCAGCCCUCCCCUGCCCCAGACCGUGGGGUGCCCACCACCAGCUGCCCCCGUUCCCUCCCUUGCGUCUCCCACAGGAGGAGCGGGGAGGAACCGUGCUCGGGGCAGCCUCCGGAGCGAAAGCAGGGCUUGGGCCUUGUCUGAGUUCGAAUCCCGCUCGGGGCCUCAGCUUCCACAGCGCAGUGAUCCUGAGGGUCAGAGGCCACAGCAUUGUGCCUGCAGGGCUCAGCCUCCCCCCCCCCCCCCCCCCGCCCCACGCCUGAUCAAAGCCCUGGAAUCCAGCAGAGGUUUUCAACGCCUGCUGCCCUCCGCGAAACCCCACAGCUGUUUACAAGCCUGGGGUCUGCUUUCAAUCACUCUUUCUCUGUGGAGAUCAGCUGGGCUCCAGAACGUUUCCGGAUGUGUGAGAAGCAGGCCAGGCGGGCAGGGCCCCGUGCUGGCUCGGCCCCAGGCCUUGCUCAGGGACCUGAGGGAUCCCAGAGCCUCAGUGUCCUCAUCUUUAAAAUGGAGGUCAUGCCCUCUUCUCCCAGAUGACAAGUUCAAGAUGGGUCCCAGGCUCGCAAGCCUGGCCUGGGAGCACCAGAGGGCGCUCUUGACCUGCUGAAGGCUGCUCCGGGCGCCCGCUGACUCCUGCCCUUAGACCACAUCCUGGGAGGAGUCAAGGUGCAGGCAAGAUUAAGCCUCGCAUGAGAGACAAGUCUUUCAUCUUAGACAGGAGCCACAGUUUGGAGAGGAAGAAGGGGUCAUGAUAAGAAACCUCCAGGAAGAUCACAGUGACCUAUAAUCGUUCGUCCCUCUCUGACCCAUGGCAGGCGGGCUGUGCUGGCCCCCCUCUUCCACAGCUCUCCGAAGACUGUGACUGGGUCUGACCUAUCUUUGUGCCACCUCAGUACCCAGCACAGGGCACAACAUCUUCUAGAUAUGUUGGACGGAGCCAAGCUUCCUAUUUAUGAGAUGCAAAAUCACUUAUCAACAUCAAUGCUGAUUGCUAUCCCAACAUGAAGAGUGCAGCGCCCAGGGCUCCUCUUCAGGUCCCAGCUUGGACUCACGAUGUUCUGAGCUCCAAUCCCCCCUAUGCUGCUGAUACCACGAUGUCUGCUGUCCCUGGACCUCUUGGGAUCUGAAAGCUCCCGAACGAUGGCGGCGAUUUUCUCUGUAAACUCUAUCCCUGCAAUUCCAACCUCUACCACCAGGUGGCAGCUAGGAUUACAGAAAUUUAUCAAAACUAGCCUAAUUUCUAAAACUAUACUUCUAAUGAAAAAUACCCUAAAUUAAAACAAGAUACACACACACAUAUGUAUUAUUGUAUUGGCAUAGAUUUAAAAGUAUGAUAAUACCCACAGUUGGGCAGAGCUUGGGGGAACAUGCAGCCUUCACAUGUUCUUGGUGGAAAUGUAAAUUAGCACGGCCUCCUGGAGGGCAAUUUGGCAAAAGACAUCAAAAGCCUCACACACGUGUAAACCCUUUGGUCUAGCAGUUCAACUUCUAGACAUUUAUUCUAAGGACAUAAUCAUGGAAAUAAACCUACAUUUAUUCCUAGGAUGUUGACUAUGAGGGUGAAAAAUUGUCAAUAUAAAUAAUAUAACUUGGAGACCAGUUAAACACAUUAUAUAUAAUAUAAUAAACAUGAUAAAAUAUGACAUAGCUAUUACAUUCUAUAAGAAUUCUUAAUGAUGUGGAAAAAUGUCAUGCUAUAUUAAGUGAAAAAAACAGGCUACAAGAAUGUAUGUCCACUGUAAUCCCAUUUUUUAAAAUAACAAAUAUAAAAGCAAACUUGCACAUAAAAAAUGUUGGAAGAAGAAAUACUAAAAUAUUGAGCAGACUUAUCUGUGGGUGGUAGGAUUAUGGAUAGCUGCUUUUUCCUUUUUUUGUGCUUUUCUCUAUUUUGGGAAGGUUUACAGUAAACACGCUUCUGUUGUCAUCAGCAGAGAGCUGUCACUGAACCCUUGCAGCGGAAAUGACAGGCCAGCUCCGAACAAGGAGGCCAUGGACAAGGUGGCCUGGGCCCUUGUCCGUCCACCACCUGUCCCUCGGACAUGGGUGGCUCCUAUGCCCCUGACCCCCAUUGGGCCACAUGUGGACCUGGUUUCAGCUGGUCUCGGCAGGGGAGGGCUGGCCUGGAUGAAUCCAGAACAUGCAGCCGGCACAGUCUCCACCCAGCCCUCCUGCACGACUCUUUUCUUGCUCUUUCUUUGCCUUACAAAGUGACAUGUUUUUAGCACAAAGAAAAAAAAAAAUCCUCCCCAGGGCUGGUCUUGAAAUCUCCCAAACUGCCCUUUCUCAGAGCCCUGUGCCUUCCAAAUGCUGCCGUGUGCUGGUGCAUCAGCACCAGCUGAGCCCGUCCUUCCUCUCUCGAGGCCUCUGCGUGGGGUGGUGGCGGCGACGACGACGGGGACACACACAGCCAGAGCAUCGAGGGAGGGGCUGUCGUGCAUGCUGCCCCUGGCUCGCGGUUGACCCCAUCAACCCCUCCAGCUCUGUGGCGGGGCCUUGCCAGUUCCGAGAGGCUUGUCUGCCCCAGCCGCGCAGCCGACCCAGGGCUGAGCUGGACUGGGUGGCAGGACGGGAAGCUCGUGUGGUUCUCUGUGGACAAGGUGCCUCUUAGGUGGCCCAGGAGUGCGGCAGUCCCCCUACCCUCUGGGGCGACCACACGGAGCUGUCUGUAAACAGACCCCAGGCUGGGAGCCA